AAUCAACGCUGGCGGCGUGCCUAACACAUGCAAGUCGAACGCGGUUACCCCGCAAGGGGUAACUGAGUGGCGAACGGGUGAGUAACACGUGGGUGACCUACCUUCGAAUGGGGGAGUAACGUCCCGAAAGGGACGCUAAUACCGCAUAACAUCCUGUCCUUGAACGGAUGGAGAUCAAAGCCGGGGAUCGCAAGACCUGGCGUUUGAAGAGGGGCCCGCGUCCGAUUAGCUAGUUGGUGAGGAACGGCUCACCAAGGCGACGAUCGGUAGCCGGCCUGAGAGGAUGAUCAGCCUCACUGGGACUGAGACACGGCCCA
rnacentral:rRNA from 1 species